rnacentral:rRNA from 1 species
GAUGAACGCUGGCGGCGUGCCUAAUACAUGCAAGUCGAGCGAACAGACGAGGAGCUUGCUCCUUUGACGUUAGCGGCGGACGGGUGAGUAACACGUGGGUAACCUACCUAUAAGACUGGGAUAACUUCGGGAAACCGGAGCUAAUACCGGAUCAUAUUUCGAACCGCAUGGUUCGAUAGUGAAAGAUGGCUUUGCUAUCACUUAUAGAUGGACCUGCGCCGUAUUAGCUAGUUGGUAAGGUAACGGCUUACCAAGGCAACGAUACGUAGCCGACCUGAGAGGGUGAUCGGCCACACUGGAACUGAGACACGGUCCAGACUCCUACGGGAGGCAGCAGUAGGGAAUAUUCCGCAAUGGGCGAAAGCCUGACGGAGCAACGCCGCGUGAGUGAUGAAGGUCUUCGGAUCGUAAAACUCUGUUAUUAGGGAAGAAAAAACGUGUAAGUAACUGUGCACGUCUUGACGGUACCUAAUCAGAAAGCAACGGCUAACUACGUG